rnacentral:tRNA from 1 species
GCUAUGUAGCUCAGUAGGUUAGAGCGGAGCAUUCAUAAUGCUUAGGUCGUUGGUUCGAAUCCGACCAUAGC